UACGAAGGGGGCUAGCGUUGUUCGGAAUUACUGGGCGUAAAGCGCGCGCAGGCGGUCUUCCAAGUCAGUGGUGAAAGCCCGGAGCUCAACUCCGGAACUGCCAUUGAAACUGUUGGACUUGAGUACGAGAGAGGUGAGUGGAAUUCCCAGUGUAGAGGUGAAAUUCGUAGAUAUUGGGAAGAACACCGGUGGCGAAGGCGGUCUGCUGGGCCAAGACUGACGCUGAGGCGCGACAGCGUGGGGAGCAAACAGG
rnacentral:rRNA from 1 species